ACGCCACUGUAGGUUGUAGGAAAAUAGAAAAAGAAGAGAUAGGAAAGUUGGUAACCUAUACGCGUCGAUUUUUAUUCAGAUCGUUUCGAGACGUUGGAUGACAAGUCGUAGAACUUUUAUUUUUCGAUAAAAGAGUGCAGCCAAUCCUCGCUUCUACCUCGGAAAUCGAUUUUAUAUCCGAUAUGAAGUCGAUAGACGUGCCAUUCUUCGUUAACGAUAGAAAAAGAGAAUAAUACAUUUUAAUGCUUGGAAUUUAAAAUCGCACGAGAAAAAUUAAUUGAAAUUGGUUAAUACUGUAGAAUUUCGAUUUUUUCUUAGACUGCGGUAUAUCGAACGUGGCUAUUUAAAGGUGUGUGAGCAGUGUAGAUAUUUAAAAAGAUAAAAUUCUGACAACAAUUCUGAGUGUUUCUAAUCUAACGUUGAAACUGAACCUAAACGUAAACUUAACCUAAAACUCGUGUUAUGUUUUAUUAUUUCUAUCUGGAAAUUCGUUUAAUGGUCCAGCAAGUGUCAGUAUCGAUAUUUAGAAAAUCAAUUUAGAAAUCAUUAAAAAAAAGAAUUUAUUCAAUACGGAAGCAGGCAUCAGCAACGGUGAUAAAUCUUUAUAAAGAAUAAAGAGCGUGAACACACUCCAACGAGUUUUUUGUCUUUAUCCGACAGCGAGCCAAAUGGCCACCAUUUGCUGUUUACUUUCUACCACUUGAUCUGCAGAAUCGUUUGCAACACUUUUCUCAUUAUAUUCCUCUUUACCUCUAUCUCUUUAAAUAACCCUUUUUAUAUAUAUACCAAAGUUUGAACAAAACCGGAUACCAGCCAAGUUCUAAAGUAUUUGCUGAAAUUGUUUAAGAAUGGAAGAGAAAAUACUGGAUGCAAGGUUGUAAUUAAAAAAGAAAAAUCGAUUUUACACUUACUGGGAGAGGAAGGUUGAGGAUUCCUCUGGAUCAGCUUCCUCUUUGACCGUUUCCACGAGCAACACGACUUCUUGAUUGAAACAAGGACAAGUGGUCCGCGAAACCCGUUAUAACACGGCAAACCACAUUUAACUAUCGGAUAUUUUUAGAACCUGAUCGAUAACCCGAUUGCGUUACUGCCAACCAGUUGAUGAUUCUUCCUCUUCUAUGUUCGUUUCGUCGAAAAGUUAGUGGAAACUUGGGAUCGCUCGAGAAAUCGCACAAAAAUUCCGAUUGGCCUUUGCUAGGUCCGCCAAGUUGCGUCAUACACAAACUUGUGAUUCUCUGUAAUUUUAUAUGCAGGACGUCUCAGCUGACUUGAGACAUUUCGUAUUAUCGAUGAUGGGAACAAAUAUGAGAAACCUUUAUUUAAUUUGGAGGGGCAGAUACGACGGCCUGACAUUUUUCUGCGGCUCAUAUUUCGCUAGAUUUUAAGGUCACUGGUGUAUUUUUAAAUGGGGCUUGAAUAAAAUUCCAAAAUCUUGCAUCGUUCCAAAAUUCUGCCUUGAAUGCUCGAAUCUUCCUUCACUCACAUUCACCGUUUAUAUUUUGUUGCUGGUGCUGUAACAGAUUGAAACAUAGCACACCCAAACCUUUUAAUUUUUCCAAAAUAUUACGACACUUGU
rnacentral:lncRNA from 11 species